UACGAAGGGGGCUAGCGUUGUUCGGAUUUACUGGGCGUAAAGCGCACGUAGGCGGAUCGUUAAGUCAGGGGUGAAAUCCUGGAGCUCAACUCCAGAACUGCCUUUGAUACUGAGAAGCUUGAGUCCGGGAGAGGUGAGUGGAACUGCGAGUGUAGAGGUGAAAUUCGUAGAUAUUCGCAAGAACACCAGUGGCGAAGGCGGCUCACUGGCCCGGUACUGACGCUGAGGUGCGAAAGCGUGGGGAGCAAACAGG
rnacentral:rRNA from 1 species